rnacentral:sRNA from 1 species
UGAUAAUGAAGAAUCAUGAAGACUAACUAUGAUUUUAUUGCACCUCAUUA